CCUACGGGAGGCAGCAGUGAGGAAUAUUGGUCAAUGGGCGAGAGCCUGAACCAGCCAAGUCGCGUGAAGGAUGACGGCCCUACGGGUUGUAAACUUCUUUUGUCAGGGAGCAAUUGGGUCCACGCGUGGGCUUAGCGAGAGUACCUGAAGAAAAAGCAUCGGCUAACCCCGUGCCAGCAGCCGCGGUAAUACGGAGGAUGCGAGCGUGAUCCGGAUUUAUUGGGUUAAAGGGGUGCGUAGGCGGAAUAUCAAGUCAGCGGUAAAAAUUCGGGGCUCAACCCCGUCGUGCCGUUGAAACUGAUGUUCUGGAGUGGGCGAGAAGUAUGCGGAAGGCGUGGUGUAGCGGUGAAAUGCAUAGAUAUCACGCAGAACUCCGAUUGCGAAGGCAGCAUACCGGCGCCCAACUGACGCUGAAGCACGAAAGCGUGGGUAUCGAACAGGAUUAGAUACCCUAGUAGUC
rnacentral:rRNA from 1 species